UACGAAGGGGGGCUAGCGUUGCUCGGAAUCACUGGGCGUAAAGGGCGCGUAGGCGGCCAUUCAAGUCGGAGGUGAAAGCCCAGGGCUCAACCCUGGAAUUGCCUUCGAUACUGUCUGGCUAGAGACCGGAAGAGGUAAGUGGAACUGCGAGUGUAGAGGUGAAAUUCGUAGAUAUUCGCAAGAACACCAGUGGCGAAGGCGGCUCACUGGCCCGGAACUGACGCUGAGACGCGAAAGCGUGGGGAG
rnacentral:rRNA from 1 species